ACAACCAUAUCGUUGGUUGAAAUUCAAACUAACUUUUUGGUUGUUUCGAACUAAACUUUUGUUGUUACUAAAUCGCAUUGAUGGUUAAAUCAACCAGCGAUUUCAGUUUUAAACAAUCUAUAAAAUAUUGUUGCUACAAAGCAAACUUUGUUUGCUUCAAACAAAUAUUAUUGUUGUUACAAAUAAAAUUGUAGGUUAUUUAAAACAAUAUGUGGGUUGUUUUCGUUGGCCUAAUUUAUUAUAUUUAACAAAGUCAGUUAUACUUUCAGUGUCAAAAGACGCCAUCAAAGCAAAAUCGUCUGAGAUUAUUUUUAAUUAAGUUCCAGAUUUUUUAUUUAUUCGAUAACUUGUUAGGACCCGACUACAUAUCACCAAUCACCAUGACAGUGUGUGCAUCGUAUUCGCGGUUUUGGGGAAACUCGUACACUAUGACGAGAAACAGAUUUUGCUUCAUAUAUACAACGGUAGUUCAAAACAUACAACACAAGCGAGCAUUAAUUAUUCUUCGAAACAUCAGGUCAUCGCGGCACCAGAAGAUUAUACAUAUUCGAUCAUAGAUGUAUCUAAAUUAAUUUGAAGGAUAAUAAUAAAUUGAAUCUAUGUAAAUUAAAAUAAAAAAAAAGCUUUUCAAGAAUUAAAAGGAAAAUAUAAACAAAAAAGGUGGAUGGAAAACCUGCUAU